GACGAACGCUGGCGGCGUGCUUAACACAUGCAAGUCGAACGGAAAGGCCCUUCGGGUGCUCGAGUGGCGAACGGGUGAGUAACACGUGGGUGAUCUGCCCUGCACUUUGGGAUAAGCCUGGGAAACUGGGUCUAAUACCGAAUAGGACUCCGGACUGCAUGGUCUGGGGUGGAAAGCUUUUGCGGUGUGGGAUGGGCCCGCGGCCUAUCAGCUUGUUGGUGGGGUGAUGGCCUACCAAGGCGACGACGGGUAGCCGGCCUGAGAGGGUGUCCGGCCACACUGGGACUGAGAUACGGCCCAGACUCCUACGGGAGGCAGCAGUGGGGAAUAUUGCACAAUGGGCGCAAGCCUGAUGCAGCGACGCCGCGUGGGGAGUGACGGCCUCGU
rnacentral:rRNA from 1 species